GACCUGUGGCUGGGGGUGAAAGGCCAAUCAAACCGGGAGAUAGCUGGUUCUCCCCGAAAGCUAUUUAGGUAGCGCCUCGUGAAUUCAUCUCCGGGGGUAGAGCACUGUUUCGGCUAGGGGGCCAUCCCGGCUUACCAACCCGAUGCAAACUGCGAAUACCGGAGAAUGUUAUCACGGGAGACACACGGCGGGUGCUAACGUCCGUCGUGAAGAGGGAAACAACCCAGACCGCCAGCUAAGGUCCCAAAGUCAUGGUUAAGUGGGAAACGAUGUGGGAAGGCCCAGACAGCCAGGAUGUUGGCUUAGAAGCAGCCAUCAUUUAAAGAAAGCGUAAUAGCUCACUGGUCGAGUCGGCCUGCGCGGAAGAUGUAACGGGGCUAAACCAUGCACCGAAGCUGCGGCAGCGA
rnacentral:rRNA from 1 species